rnacentral:rRNA from 1 species
AAGUUUGAUCAUGGCUCAGGAUGAACGCUGGCGGCGUGCCUAAUACAUGCAAGUCGAGCGGCAGCACGGUCUUCGGACUGGUGGCGAGCGGCGGACGGCUGAGUAACGCGUAGGAAUAUACCCCAAAGUGAGGGAUAACUGCCCGAAAGGGUGGCUAAUACCGCAUGUGGUCUUCGGACUAAAGCCUUCGGGCGCUUUGGGAAUAGCCUGCGUAAGAUUAGCUAGUUGGUGAGGUAAUGGCUCACCAAGGCGACGAUCUUUAGCUGGUCUGAGAGGAUGACCAGCCAGACUGGAACUGAGACACGGUCCAGACUCCUACGGGAGGCAGCAGUAGGGAAUUUUCCACAAUGGGCGAAAGCCUGAUGGAGCAACGCCGCGUGCAGGAUGAAGGCCCUCGGGUCGUAAACUGCUUUUAUGUGCGAAGAAUAUGACGGUAACACAUGAAUAAGGGUCGGCUAACUACGUG